rnacentral:rRNA from 1 species
GAGGAGACAGGUGGUGCAUGGUUGUCGUCAGCUCGUGUCGUGAGAUGUUGGGUUAAGUCCCGCAACGAGCGCAACCCUUGUCGUUUAGUUGCCAUCAAUUCAGUUGGGCACUCUAGACGAGACUGCCGGUGAUAAAUCGGAGGAAGGUGGGGACGACGUCAAAUCAUCAUGCCCUUUAUGUCCUGGGCUACACACGUACUACAAUGGCCGUUACAACGGGAAGCGAAGGAGCAAUCCGGAGCAAAUCCCUUAAAGGCGGUCCCAGUUCAGAUUGUGGGCUGAAACUCGCCCACAUGAAGGCGGAAUUGCUAGUAAUUGCAGAUCAGCAUGCUGCAGUGAAUACGUUCCCGGGCCUU